rnacentral:rRNA from 1 species
AUGAACGCGAUUCGGUCGGCCCUCGCGAGGGCGCUCUCCGCCCCGAAGCCCCGGCCGCCGCUGGCGCGCCACUACGCCGCCGUCGGCGAAACGCAGCCGGAGCGGGUGGCGGCGGAGAUGGUCCGCUACGCCCUCGGCGGCGCCGGGCAUCAGAGCUCGUCAGAGGACGCGAUGCGGAUACUGGAGCAGGGGGCGUCGAACCUGCAGGGCGGCGGCGAGGGCGCCGCCGAGGCCGUGAGCUUGCUCAUGCUCGCCAUGUCCACGCUGCUAUACAGGAGUGGAAGACGCGAAGAUGCAAUGGAAAAGCUCAAAGCAACCCAGCAAGUCGCUCCUUCUGCAGCUUUCAGAGUUGCUGCAUGGGAAGCACUAAUGGGAAUUCGCAUGGAAGCAAGCCAGGAUGUCUCCUCAUCGAUGUCCCCGAAUGAUUCAGUUGAUUUGUCAAUCAAAGAAGAAGAAAUCAAAUGGUCUGAUCAGGACCAUCUGAAAUUUCGGGUUGAUGCAAUCAGAGGACUUGCUGCUCUUCUAAAUGGAGAGAUAGACUCAGCCCAGACGCUCUUUGGUGGGCCCAACAGCUGCUAUGCUGCAGUAGGCAAUAACCAAACAGAAAAUGCUGUCUUUACAUAUGGUGAAUAUCUGCACUGUACUGGGGAUUUUCCUUUGGCAACACAAAUGUAUGAAAAGGUUCUUGAGGCAGCAAGCAGAGAAGAUAUAUUUGGAAAUCUGUUAGCAGCUGGAAAUAUGGCUCCUGAGGAGGUUUCUCUGGGUGCCACUUGCUCAUACGGCCAGCUUUUAUCUCAAUCUGGGAAGUUUGAUGAGGCAGAGGACUAUCUCACAAGAGCACUGCAGAAGGCUGAAGAACAAUUCGGUUCAAAUCACCCAAAGGUUGGUAUGGUAUUGACUUGUGUAGCAAGAAUGUAUAAACUGAAAGCAAAAUCUGAAGGUUCUAGUUCAAUAAUGGUUCAGGAGGGGCUAUACAGGAAGGCUCUAGAAGUAUUGAAAGCACCUGCCAUCAACUCUGAGGACACAAGAAGGCAGGUUGAUUGGAGAGAUAUCAUUUCCCUUGCUAGAGGCGAGUAUGCUGAACUGUUGCUUAUCCAGUCGAAUAGGAAGGCAGAAGGUGAGCGAAUGAAGGAGUGGGCAGAGGAUGCCUGGAAGAAUCGUAGGUUAACAUUAGCCCAAGCGUUGGAGUUUUCAGAAGUAUCAAAGCCUACAGUGGUUGAUACCCGUAUCGGCAGGGUGAUAUAG